rnacentral:rRNA from 1 species
UACGGGGGGGGCAAGCGUUGUUCGGAAUUACUGGGCGUAAAGGGCUCGUAGGCGGCCAACUAAGUCAGACGUGAAAUCCCUCGGCUUAACCGGGGAACUGCCCAUCAAACUGCUUGGCUUGAGGCCGGGAGAGGCGAGUGGAAUUCCCAGUGUAGCGGUGAAAUGCGUAGAUAUCGGGAGGAACACCAGUGGCGAAGGCGACUACCUGGCCUGUUCUUGACGCUGAGGCGCGAAAGCUAGGGGGAGCAAACGGG